rnacentral:rRNA from 1 species
UACGAAGGGUGCAAGCGUUACUCGGAAUUACUGGGCGUAAAGGGUGCGUAGGUGGUUUGUUAAGUCUGCUGUGAAAUCCCCGAGCUCAACCUGGGAAUGGCAGUGGAUACUGGCAAGCUAGAGUGCGGUAGAGGGUAGUGGAAUUCCCGGUGUAGCAGUGAAAUGCGUAGAGAUCGGGAGGAACACCAGUGGCGAAGGCGGCUACCUGGACCAGCACUGACACUGAAGCACGAAAGCGUGGGGAGCAAACAGG